GGGAAGGGCCUGUUCUACCUCUCCUCUCUCUCCAGCACUGUGGCCGUCUAUCUGGGGUAACCAAUGAGCUGGAGCCACUUGGAAGUUCCCAGGAGAAGGAAGCAGGCUCUCCCAGACACCUCAACUGGCAUCAAGCCUCAGCUCAGCUUCUUCGCAGCCCUGCAAGCUGCUCGGUGGUAUCUGGGUGUUUUACCCCAGAGCACAGGGUGGGUUCCAGCUGCAGGCUGGUUCGUCAGCCCUCCCCCCACCCUCUGUGGCACAGCCCAUUAGGCUCAGAGCAAAGCUGUAGCUGGUGGGACUUUCUGGACGCCAACAGCACAUUGAUUAUGAAGAUUGUUCCUCUCAGCUAGUUAAUGAAGCAUCUGAUUCUUGCCGGCUUUAAUCUGUCAGAUAAACACCAGUGAACAGGCGGAGUUGGAGACGGACCCUGAGUGGCAGCAGGAGCAUCCCAGGAAUAGGAUGGGGAAUUUUGCGCAGACUCGUUAAUAUGAACAAAGUCAGAGGACUCUGAUCAGUUCUUGACCAGAGCUCCGGCCAUUUUGUCAGACUUAAGGCCACCUAAAGCAGACCUGAAGGCAUGUCCUCAGCCACUUAAUCGAAGGGCCAGAGACUCCAACAAUGAACCCAAGCUGGGCAGCCACCCUUGCCCGAGAAGCUCCAGGGCAUGGGCUGAUGUGUGAACACAUGAACAGCAGCCAUUGUGCUAUACAGAAGCAACUUCGUGUGUUCCAGCCAAUGCUGGGGAGGAGGCGGCAGUGUCAGUGAGAUGUCAUCUAAGGAUCUUCCCAGUCACGGUGGGGCCAGCAGACUCCUGAGCCCAAGUGCUUAGUUGGUAGUUCUCAGCCUCCUUACAUCAUUGAGGAGGGAAUAUGACUUCAGGCAUGAAGCAGUCUCCUACACAUGCCUGUGGGGACAGACAUCUCUAGGAUACAGGGUACAGGCUGAACUUGAACUUGAAGCCCCAUGGAGAUCAAUCAAAUGAACACACACUUUCUUCCUGGCAGUGGACACCAAAAGACCUCAGGAACUCCAAGUCUGUGUGCCUUUUCCAAAAUAUCCAAACCACUUGGACAUUUGACCAAAAGGCACAUCAGUCAACAGAAGCAAGAGUAAGUGUGGCCAGCACCGAGUGUCACUAACCCGCGUCACCUGGGGCGGCGGGACAGCAUUCACCGGAACAGGUCUGCAGGAGCAGGCAGGCUCUGCCCCAUGGUCUCCCUGAGAGAAGCUGGCGGUGGCCAUGCCCAGGGAAGAUCUCUGAUAACACGAGGCCCUCCCCCGUCACUGAGUUUCCAUAUCAGAAGACACUGAUCCUUGACUGCAUUAGAAAGUGAGACUGGGAUUCCAGCUACUCGAGAGGUUGAGGCAGGAUCAUAACAAGCCCAAGGCUAUCCAGGCAACAAGCAGAGUUCAGGGUAAAAAGUAAAGAGAAGGCUAGAGCUGUGCUCAGUGGAGAAGCACUUACCUAACCCGCCCACGGCCCUGUGUUUAAUCCCAGAACCGAAGGAAACAGUGAGGGAUCUCUUCUGUAGGGCAAGGUACACAAACCUUUAGAGCAAAUCCAUGCCUACAACAUACCCUGUACCCACCAAGGUAGAUACAGAUCGCUCCAAACCCCUGCCAGUGUUUUGUCUUUUAGA